rnacentral:rRNA from 1 species
AUUGAACGCUGGCGGCAUGCUUUACACAUGCAAGUCGAACGGUAACAGGUCUUUCGGGAUGCUGACGAGUGGCGAACGGGUGAGUAAUGUAUCGGAACGUGCCCAGUAGUGGGGGAUAACUACUCGAAAGAGUGGCUAAUACCGCAUGAGAUCUCUGGAUGAAAGCGGGGGACCGUAAGGCCUCGCGCUACUGGAGCGGCCGAUAUCAGAUUAGGUUGUUGGUGAGGUAAAGGCUCACCAAGCCGACGAUCUGUAGCUGGUCUGAGAGGACGACCAGCCACACUGGGACUGAGACACGGCCCAGACUCCUACGGGAGGCAGCAGUAAGGAAUAUUGGUCAAUGGAGGAAACUCUGAACCAGCCAUCCCGCGUGCAGGAAGAAUGCCCUAUGGGUUGUAAACUGCUUUAUCUGGGAGAAAGCCGGCAUUUAUGUUGGUCUGACGGUACCAGAGGAAUAAGCACCGGCUAACUCCGUGCCAGCA